rnacentral:rRNA from 1 species
UACGUAGGUGGCAAGCGUUGUCCGGAUUUACUGGGCGUAAAGGGCGCGUAGGCGGCCAGCACAAGUCAGUUGUGAAAUCUCCGAGCUUAACUCGGAAAGGUCAACUGAUACUGUGCGGCUAGAGUGCAGAAGGGGCAACUGGAAUUCUUGGUGUAGCGGUGAAAUGCGUAGAUAUCAAGAGGAACACCUGCGGCGAAGGCGGGUUGCUGGGCUGACACUGACGCUGAGGCGCGAAAGCUAGGGGAGCGAACGGG